CCCUCGGUGGUGUAGCGGUAGCACACGUCCCCUGUAUUAAUGAAACGCAGGUUCGACGCCUGUCUGGGGUCGU